UACGGGAGGCAGCAGUGGGGAAUAUUGCACAAUGGGCGAAAGCCUGAUGCAGCUAUGCCGCGUGUAUGAAGAAGGCCUUAGGGUUGUAAAGUACUUUCAUCGGGGAGGAAAAACAAAACUAAUAAUUUUAUUUCUUGACGUUACCCGAAAAAGAAGCACCGGCUAACUCCGUGCCAGCAGCCGCGGUAAUACGGAGGGUGCUAGCGUUAAUCAGAAUUACUGGGCGUAAAGAGCACGUAGGUGGUUUUUUUAAAGUCAGAUGUGAAAUCCCUGGGCUUAACCUAGGAACUGCAUUUUGAAACUGAAAUACUAGAGUAUCGUAGAGGGAGGUAGAAUUCUAGGUGUAGCGGUGAAAUGCGUAGAUAUCUGGAGGAAUACCUGUGGCGAAAGCGGCCUCCUAAACGAAUACUGACACUGAGGUCGCGAAAGCGUGGGGAGCAAACAGGGAUUAGAUACC
rnacentral:rRNA from 1 species